AUGGCUUCCAUGGGGUUUAGCUAUGCGCAGGUACAUGUGCGGCAGGAGAAGGUCCGGCAGAGGAUCAGCCAACAAGGAGCCGCCAACAACUCGACCGUGAAGAACAAGAACAAGAGUAUCGGUGAAGAAGACAAGAUCAGCAAGAAAAACUGCGACUCAUGGGCCGCCGCCGGCAGGGUGCAUCCGUGCGCAUCUUCCACGGCGGCGGCGGCGGCUGGGCCGGUGCCGGAGAGGUGA
rnacentral:rRNA from 1 species